UACAGAGGGUGCGAGCGUUAAUCGGAAUUACUGGGCGUAAAGGGCUCGUAGGCGGCCAACUAAGUCAGACGUGAAAUCCCUCAGCUUAACUGGGGAACUGCGUCUGAUACUGGAUGGCUUGGAUCCGGGAGAGGGAUGCGGAAUUCCAGGUGUAGCGGUGAAAUGCGUAGAUAUCUGGAGGAACACCGGUGGCGAAGGCGGCAUCCUGGACCGGUAUUGACGCUGAGGAGCGAAAGCCAGGGGAGCAAACGGG
rnacentral:rRNA from 1 species